rnacentral:rRNA from 1 species
AGAACGAACGCUGGCGGCGUGGAUUAGGCAUGCAAGUCGAACGCGAAAGAGGGGAGCAAUCCCUCGAGUAGAGUGGCGAACGGGUGAGUAACGCGUGAAGAACCUGCCUUCAACAGGGGGAUAACACUCCCAACGGGGUGCUAAUACCGCAUGAGACCGACGGGAUCGCAUGGUCCUGGAGGUCAAAGGUGGCCUACUAUUUAUAAGUCUACCGGUUAGAAGAUGGUCUUCGCCGUCCCAUUACGCUAGGUUGGACGGUAGUAAAACGACCAACCGAGGCGACGAUGGGGUAGCUGGUCUAGGAGAGGA